AUGAAUAACAGCUAUGCAACAAAUGGAAUGAAUUUGAACCACAACCGACAUCCGGCCCUGGGCUGUGAUAAUGUGAUUUAAGGCAAGAGAGAUUCAAAGCAAGAGCUAUCCUGCUGGCCCCAAAGAAGCAAACUGUCACAGUGUGAAGAAGACUAUGUGGGCAGUCUCUAGGAGCUGGAAUGGCCCCCUGCUGACAGCCAGCAUGAAAGCACCUGCGGUCCUUCAACUCAAAGGAACUGAAUUUUUCCAACAGCUAGUGAACUUGGAAGAAGACUCCAAGCUUCAGGGCACCAUUUCCUGAACUGUGUUUUUGCCGAGUAUUAGGAUUUCUCAAGAUGUCAACACAUUGCUGAGACCAAGGUCCUUUUUCUCUCUGAACAUCGGAUAUUGUCAACAUGAGCCGUAGUCCGGAGGGUGAGCUGUUAAGCUGGGAUAACAAGGAGCUCUCAGAGCAUUUGGAGCCUUGGCACCUACAUGGCAAUUUUGAAGCUUUUCUUUUUAAAACGGGGUUUCAAGACAAUCUCCCGCCAUCUCCACUUACUCCUGAGUAAGAGGAUUCUAAUGAAGCCGCCGUGGGUGAUGAGGCUCAGCCCCGCGGUCCUCUCCUGCAGGGACUGUUUCUGCUGCCUGGUUGUUAGCGGGGCAACUGCCGUCUUUAUCUUUGGGAUCUGCAGGGAAAGAUGCUCAGAGAGGGAGGCUAACAAGGAAAGUGUGAGUCCUACUAAGCAGACCGGAAAGCUUGGUCGUUUGAAAACAAUCCCCUUUCCUUGCCUUGGUUUUGGCAAUGAUAGGCUUAUCAAGGAGACUCGGGGAGGAGGAGGAGGAGAGAGGUAUGUAUCUUUUAGGGAAGAUGGUGGAAAGCAGAGAAAUGAGGGAAGCCUGAUUCUUGGCAGCAGGACAACAAGGUUGGCAAAGUUGUCUGCCCCUGACUGAAAAAGAACCACUUUCAAUGGACUGUGUGGGUUUGGACUCUGAGGCUGUUGGUGGUGACCAAGAAGAACAGAAGGCUGUCUUUUUUUAUUAAAGAUUUUUUAUGUGGAC
ensembl:lncRNA